rnacentral:lncRNA from 1 species
UGAAACAGUUCCUUCCUGCGUUCCUGCUCGCUCGUGAUCCUACAGUAGUUCCAAAGCUUGGCACGAGCAUCCUACCAAGAUUUUUUUUAUCUCAGUUUCUUCGAAAUUCUCCUACAUGCAUGAAAGUCGUAAACACCGUCGCGCGCGUACGGGCAGGCAUGCAGAUGUACAUAGUCAUUCUCUGGUAUCGGUAACAUCUCAAAGUCGUUACACAAGGAGACAACUGACACGUCGUGUGCACAGCGCAGACGUCGAGCACGAGAGAGACGACGGGUAAGCUGUCUCUGUUGUUGUCCUGCUCAACGAGUCACUCUCGCCAUCGGAGGAUGAUGUCUACUCUAAUCUAACCACGAGUAUUAAACACAACGGCGCCGGUCCGUGCGGCCAAAAUUAGGCUCCUCUCGUCUGUCACCUCACCUCCCUAUCCAAAAACCAGUCAGUCUCUGAACACACGGCUACGAUGGAAGCGUGCCAAAAAUCGCAGGUUAUGCCCGAACCUUGAGAAAGUGAAGGGAGAACGAAUGAUCGGUGGAGCAUAUAUAUAUACGAUUAUAUGACGAACCUUUGAUAAUCAUCACUGGCCAAAUAUAGCAAAAUUGAUCAAGAAUCAUGGCGUUUUUGCUCUGCAACGGCGACGUAGCAGUCUUCCGUCGGCUCCCACGACGAUGCUGUGAGCAGGGAGAGGUCCNNNN